GCCCUGCUGGCGCAAUGGUAGCGCGUCAGACUUCUAUUGGAUUAUAUCUUAUUUGAGAUCUGAAGGUUGCGGGUUCGACCCCCGCGUGGGGUU
rnacentral:tRNA from 1 species